rnacentral:rRNA from 1 species
UGAGGAAUAUUGGUCAAUGGGCGCAAGCCUGAACCAGCCAUGCCGCGUGCAGGAUGACGGUCCUAUGGAUUGUAAACUGCUUUUAUACAGGAAGAAACACUCGGACGUGUCCGAGCUUGACGGUACUGUAGGAAUAAGGAUCGGCUAACUCCGUGCCAGCAGCCGCGGUAAUACGGAGGAUCCAAGCGUUAUCCGGAAUCAUUGGGUUUAAAGGGUCCGUAGGCGGCUUAAUAAGUCAGUGGUGAAAGC